AAUGAACGCUGGCGGCAUGCCUAACACAUGCAAGUCGAACGAAGCCUUCGGGCUUAGUGGCGCACGGGUGCGUAACGCGUGGGAAUCUGCCCUUGGGUUCGGAAUAACAGUUAGAAAUGACUGCUAAUACCGGAUAAUGACGUAAGUCCAAAGAUUUAUCGCCCAAGGAUGAGCCCGCGUAGGAUUAGCUAGUUGGUGAG
rnacentral:rRNA from 1 species